ACUCUUUUAAUUUUUAAUCCUUUUAAUACGCUUUGGAUUGAUAAUAACUCGGAGCAUUAGGGGCUUUUUGGAUGCAGGAUUUAGCCUAAAUCCUGUCAAACAGCAGAAAUCUACGUGUGUUUGGAUGCCUUUGUUAUCGAUGGUUUCCUACUCAAUUGUCUCACAAACUUGCUCCUCGCUCCACCCCUUGCAUUUUCCUUGGAUAUGCUUCCCAAGCCAAAGGUUACAAAUGUCUUGACAUUAGCUCCAACAAAGUCUACAUCUCAAGACAUGUUCAAUUUCAUGAAAAUAAUUUUCCUUUAAGGCAAAAUACCACACCUGUCUCUACUUCCCCCAUAAAUAAUCAUACAAAUGUUCCACCGCCUACUCUUGUGCCUGUUUCCUCUAUAACACCUUCAACUAAUCAAACUAUCUUCAUAAAUUCUCAAACCUCAUAUCUACAUGAUCAAUCACCUGUGUAUUCACUCUACUGAUCUUAUGCCGAGUAAUUCCAAUAUUCAUUCCUCCUCAAAUACUACUUUGUCUAGCAUUCCUACACAUACUAUCCAACCUAGGUGUUGACCUUAUUAUUUGAGGUCAAAUUCCCUAAAUCAAAUCUCUCGCAUCUAGGUCUUCAUAGUCUAGUGUAGACGCCAUGCUUAUAAGAUUUCCCUUAGGUGGAUACCAACUGACGUAGCAUUGGCUCGACCCAAAUCAAACCAAAACCAUUUGAAGUUCAUAUAUAUUAAAUUCAUGAAAUUCCACACUAAUCAAACCUAAUUUUAUUAAAUAGCCAUCAAUCAAAACUCUUCGAUAUAAAUCUACACAAUAUCAAGUUUAAUCGACUCGAUUCGAGUUUGAAUUAAUGUAGAUGACUCUAAUCAGCCAUUAGAUCACUCUUAAAUCAAGCUUUAAUCCAAACAUUUGAUUUUGAAUGAUGAAUAAGGACAGAGUAGUAAUUUUGAAGGCAUUUGGGUUGUUAGUGGGUUUGGUUCGGGCAGCUCAAGAUCCAAACCGCCUACUUCUCUUUCAUUUUGCCAAAACUGCUCUGGCCCCGGCUCCGUCUCCCAUUCAUUUUGCGGAAACUGCUCCGGCCCCGUCUCCAUCUCCCAUUCAUUUUUCGCAAGAACCCCAGCCCGCUCGCUCUCUCCCAGUUCGCACAGCCCGCCCCUCUCAGUUUCCUCAAGCUCGCGAAACCCCCCCGUCCCUCUCUCUCUCGGCUCGUGAGAAGACCCAGGCGGAAGAAACCCCUCCCAGCCCUUCGCCUGUUACCAGUUCGCAAGAAGCUCCCAGCAGGUCUCCCUGCUCUCUUGCGACAAAACCCAGGCUCUGAUCCCUCUCUCGGUUCGUCGUCCCUCUAUCCCGUCGCAAGCUCUAGCCGAGCAGCCGAAGCCUUUGCUUCCUCUGCCCUAGCGGACGCAUACAACCUUCCUAAUCUUGGGACCAUAGCAUAUAGCUUUUGUAUCUGCACAGCCAAGGGGCCAAGAAAUUAUAGAUGAUCUCUAUAAAACUACUAGAAAUGCCCAGGUGGCCUCUGCCGGGGGGGAGGGGAUAAUAAGGUUGGUCUAACAUCAAUGGACAGUUAUUGGAUCGUGAAAUUUGAACUGUUAACAUUUUUUUUUAAAGUAUCAACAGAGAGCUACCUCUUGCUUUCAUUGAGAAGACAAAACAGAUGCCUGACUGCAUUAUUUUAUACAGGGAUGGUGUUAGCGAAGGCCAACUCAAUGAUGUUGUUUUGACAGAAAUUGAUGCUAUUUGCAAGGUUAUUUUCUCAUUAUGUAGUUCUCUGUGACGAAAAUAAGUUUAGUGCACAGAUUCACCAAUACUUAUGUUACACGUAGGUGUUUUCUAUCUGCUAUUGAGUUAUUUUUUCGUCUAAACUUAUUGCAAUAUUUUAGUUUUUUGAAUAAAUAUGCUCGAUGCACGCGCUCGGUAUCA